AAGGUAAAGGGGUGAGCAGAAAGUGGCUUUCAGCUUCCUUCACUCAAAGGUAUGCUUAAGAAGCCAGGGGAAGAUAUGGGGGCGCCGUCAUUUCGCCCAUUGCAGGAGAACAAACCUGACCUGUGAAGAGGUUGCCCUGGCUCAGCCCUGCAAGGGAAGGUGGGCGAGGGGGUCCUGUCGGGAUCUCCGUGGCACCUAGUGGUCGCCGCUGCGCAUGACACCCAGCGCCAACUGCAGGAAGGACCAGCAGGUGGCCAGGAGAGACUUCACCCGGAGCCGGAUUCUGCCCCGUGGGUGUCAGGCGGCAGGCGGCCAGGUUCUGGGAAAACAGGACCUCUGAGUGUGCUGUCUUGAAGAGUCCUCAUGACCUCAACAGGAUAUUCAGACAGAACGUGACUUGGAUACCCACUCUCUCCAUUGUGUAGUAGCCAUCUCCAGUUUGGGUGGAAGAAGACCCCAAAAGCCCACAAGAAUGGAUAACUGAGACUCAAAAGGUGCACUCAGAUUACUUGGAGCUAGACCUGCAUUGAGGAGAAGUCAAACCCAGUCAAGCCAAGAAGGGUUAGCGCUUCUACUAGGAGAGGAGAUCACGCACAAACAGAGGGGACCAAAAACAAGAGAGAAGAUUGAAGAUGCACCGACAUAAAAAGUCUUUGUCUGCUGGAGGUGGCAUUACCAGUGACCUUGCUUCAUUUCUUCAUUCAUGGCUGUUGUAGCAGCAUGGAUUCCUAAAGAUUGGUCCCCAGUACCACAAGACACUUCGAUUUCAAGAGGGAACACUGGAGAUUGAAGAAAAGCAGAAAUGGGAGGACUCAGUCACUUGGAAAUUCAGUUCUUCAGAAUCUGCCAAAUGCAUGGAUCCCUCACACUUGGCUGACAUUUGGCCCUCCAAUUUCAGGAGACAAUUUGAUAUGAAGAGGUAGAAUGCUACAUGAAGAAAAGUAGAAAUGGGAAGACUUGGUCAUGUGAACAUUGAGGCAUGGAUCUCUGCCUGAGAUUUGGUCAUCAAUAUCAGGAGACAAUUUGAUGAUCGAGAGGAAGCACUGGAGGUAGAACGUUGCAUCAAGAAGGAUAAUAAUGGGAGAGCUUGGUCACUGGAAAAUGAUUUUGGAAAAGGGAAGCUGACUGAUGAAGGCAUGGAUCUCUGCCUGAGAUUUGGUCAUCAAUAUCAGGAGACAAUUUGAUGAUCGAGAGGAAGCACUGGAGGUAGAACGUUGCAUCAAGAAGGAUAAUAAUGGGAGAGCUUGGUCACUGGAAAAUGAUUUUGGAAAAGGGAAGCUGACUGAUGAAGGUAUUGAAGUCCAAGGAUUGGCCCCCAAUCAGACAAGACAAUUUGAUAUGAAGAGGAAACACUUGAGGUAGAAUGCUGCGUGAAAAGAUCAGAAAUGGGAAGACUUGCUUAUGUAAGAAUUCAUUUUUUCAGAAGCUGCCUGAUGAGGGCAUGCAUCCCUGAGGAUUGGCCCACAAUAUUGCAAUUUAAUAUCAAGAUGAAACUGAGAGAGAAUGCUUCAUGAAGAAGAGCAGAACUGAGAACACUUGGGAGUUGAUUUCUGGAAGAGAGGCUGCCUAUUGCGGGAGGGCAUGGAUUCCUGAGGUUUGGCCCGCAAUAUGUCAACACAAUUUGAUAGCAUGAGGAAACACUUGAGAUACAAUGCUGCGUGAAGAACAAUAAUAAUGGGAAGACUUGGUUGUGUGGAAAUUCAGCUCUUUAAAAGUUGCUUGCUGAGGGUGGGUAGCUUAUCCUGCUUACCUUCUUUCAUUUCUGGGGAUAAAACAGAGGGUCUUGCUCAUCAGAUCUACCUUUAAUAUCAAAUGGGUAGCAAAAGCAGGAGUCUAAGAGUAGAGCAAGGUUUUGCAAGUUGACCUAAGUGCAAUAUAGCUACAGUGUUUAGUGCUUUGUCUCUUUUGGCCCAAACAAAAGCAAAAUCACAGCAGAGUGAGCUUGCAGCACCGUGCUGGAUAAAAUGCAAUGAGGAUACCAGAUAAAAUGUAAUGUAGCCUAGCCUAGUGGUGCUAGGUAAUCCCAGUAUUUGGGAGGCUGAGGCAGGAAGAUCACUGUGAGUUCAAGGCCAGCCUGGGCUACACAGUGAGUUCUAGGCCAGUCUGGAUUACACAGCAAGGGCUUUUCUUCAGAAAGAAAAAAACAAAAUGCAAGGCAGCCAUAGUUCCUGGUGCCUAUUUCUCUAGGUGUUGUUUUUUUUCAGAUAGGAAGGGGAAGACAAUAGCACUGGAGAACAGCACUUACGCUGAUAUGCGGAGCACUACUGCCAUCGUGCGGAGAGAGUUUCAGCACAUCGACCGCCAUUAAAACUCCAUUCCUAUGAGGCCUAGCUGUUGCGUGAAGAUCUCCCCCAAAGUGAGACGCAAGAGGCUAGGACUCUAGGCGAGGACUCCUUGCCUCCUCUAAGCCCCCAAGAAAGACCUGGACACUGGGGCUACCUGGGUAGUGAGGGGUCUGGGGUGUACCAGCCGCUGCUAGGAACCGCCAUCACAGGAAGACGUGGGGCGGGGCCUCGGUUCCUUCCAGGGUGGAUAGGAUCGGAGGGACCCAUUCAAAGCCUGGCUCCUAGAAGCACCUGCCACCUGUUCCUCCCGUUGGGACAGAAAUUUGCAGGCCAAAGCAAAAGGGAGCCAAAGCAAAAAAGAAUACUGAUUAGUUCAGCAUCUUUUAGUCCCAAGCUUCAAGUAAUUUGAUUUUCUUUGGCAAAGCUGAGAGAAAAUAGUUCUAUGCUUUACUCUCUUGUGACUUUGCACGAGAUAGGUCUUUCCUCUUCGGAAGUUUUGUUUGAUCUGAGAUCAUAGCCACCCACUAAGUGCUCAUAAAUAUCAUCCAGAACAGGUUUGUAGAUUAUACUCUGACAGAAUCUAGGAGGAACCUAAAGCCCAGUAGCACGGUGGCGACACAUAAAGGCUUGCUAACUCUUUUCUUCAGGGGGAAGAAUGGAGCUAAAGGUCCCCAGGGCCUGUUUUUGUCUGAAUGGGCUCUGGACAGGUCCACACUGGGAGGAACCGAGGGCCCGCCCCAUGACAUCCUGUGAUGGUGGCUCCUGGCAGCUGCUGGUCCACUCCAGGCUCUUCACCACGCAGGCUCUAGGCUUUACAGGGUACACAUCUCUCUUGGAGCCUUAGAAGAAGGCAAAAAGGUGCAGCCUGGAGUCUAAGCCUCCUCUAACUGCCUACGGGUAAGCCCUUCCUCACCAGCUCUUGGGGGAGGAGCUGUAAUGCUGCCCCAUAUUCUGAAACUCUUUCCGCAUGAUGGCAGUAGUGCUUCACGUGUGUAAACCAGUAUUGGUCACAGUGGCUUUUUCCUGUCAAAAAACCAAAAACAAAACCCCAAAACAACAAUGACACAAAACCCAAAACCCACAAAGUUACAAAGCCUACCUGGAGACAGAGGCACCAGGAAACCUAGGUUCCUAGCAUUUUAACUAUCAUGGUGCCAAAACAUCAGUUGGCUGUGAUUUUGCUUUUGUUUCUCAGGCCAAACUUUACCAAGAUGCCAAAGCACCACCCUCCUCAGAAAGGUUGAUUUCUCAGAAAUUACAUUUUCACUCUUCCUUGCUUAUGCAGUUGUACCUUCAUUUUAUGCAAUUCUACUCAGCAUUCUAGGUCCAUAUAAUGAAAUUUUUCUGUCGGAAAUUGUAAGUGUGAAUCCUCAAAUCAAACUUUUAAAAAACUUUUAAAAAGUGAAGUCACUCCAAUGUCUCGCUUUUCACUGUGGGGUCAUAAAAGGAGGAGCAGAGCUGCCCCCAGCACAGAGGAGUUGAACCUUCCACACCAACAUACCACCUCCAGCGCCAACGAGCAGAGCAGCCCCAAGCUCAGAGGAGGUGAACCUGCCUGGCCACUGAAACACCACCCCCAGUGCCUAGGAGGUGAGCUGGGUAGGUGCCAGCAGCACACAUCCCUCCCUCCCCUGUUGAAAUGAGAGGACACGAAAAAAAGUCUCAAAACUGGACUUCAAGAUUACCUACAGCAACCCCAAAGGGAAAUGAGAUGGAACAAUCUGAUACUCAACAACCUGGACUCCAUGAACUAGCAAUGG